AGAAUGAUUAGCUGAACAUGAUAGGCCUUGUAUUGAGAGCCAGGACUUCCCUGAGAGGCAGACAAUGUGUUACCAAUCAGAUCCCUGACAGUAAGUAAAUGACACUGAACAGUGAGACGUAUUUUGCGAUAGCGGCAUCGCUAAUCAAUUUAAAGGAAUUAGGCCUACAUCUCAACCUCAAUUAUUAAUCACAAGCAACCACUACCAGAUGCUUGAAUGGCAUACAGAACGUUCAAUUACGCUGGGAAUAAUGUUUCGCCACGCGGGGUGCCACAGGCCUGCCAAACUAGCAACUCAUGUGAUGGACCAGGUGCAGAUUUUGCAUCAAAACGUUCUCGAGCAUCAUAUUACAGUUAUACCGUUUACAAGCGCUGUUUUUGGAAACACGCUACCUUGCAUGUGCGCAAAAAAAAUUAGCAUUGGAGAAAUUAAAGACCUCACGUGCUAUUUCGAACACUGGUUUGUCGAAAAGCCGCAAAACAAACAGCUGAGCUGGGCAAAUGCAUCCACCAUCACAAGGAGGGGUGCAUCACGUCUUGCCAGGAUUUCUUCGCUAUGCUCGACUUAAGACCUGAGCCCUAGGACCAUGCCCCAGGACUACCUGACAUGAUGACUCCUUGCUGUCCCC